rnacentral:rRNA from 1 species
AGCGAACGCUGGCGGCGUGCUUAACACAUGCAAGUCGAGCGAAGGUGUUUCAAGGGUAACCUUGAGAUACACUUAGCGGCGGACGGGUGAGUAAUACGUGGAUAACUUACCUCUAGGCCUGGGAUAACCCCGGGAAACUGGGGCUAAUACCUGAUAAGACCACAUUGUCUACGGACAAAGGGGUAAAAGGUGGCUGUGCAAACAGCUAUCGCCAAAAGAUAGGUUCACGUCCCAUCAGGCAGUGGUGAGGUAAUGGCUCACCAAACCAAAGACGGGUAGCCGGCCUUGG